AACUUACAAAAGAAAAAUUAUAAUUUUUGGAAUUAUUAUUGUGGAAUGACGUGGCAGCGGUGGUCGUAGGGUAAAAAAUCAAAUCACUGAAUGAACUAAAACUGUUGGCCAACGGUGUCAAAUCCUCCAUUGAUUUUUGUUUUUGCUGACUCUCGACAAUGGCAAUGAAAGAACAGAUGAGAAGGUCACCACGGCGACGAUGCGCACAAGCACAAUGUAUCUAUAUCUACGGCAAAAUCCUGGCCAGGAGACAAUCAGGGAUGCAGGGGAUGCCAAUUUGUAUGAGAGACUUUCUUCAGUUAUAUCUAAACAAUUAAGAAACACAUUAAAAUCGCACAAUAAUCACAAUCAAUUCAUGUUUAUAUGUUGUAUAUAUAUACACAUUGUCUUCAGUUAGUUAGAACUGAUAACAAUGAAUGAAAAUAGCCAGCAUAAUUAGAAAUUUAAUUGGGAUGCGCAACAGAAUGGUAAUUGUUAACAUUUAUAAGUAAUCACAAUCUUCAGUUUAUUAACAAUAGUUUUUAACCAUAUCACAAAGAUAUUAACUAACAUUUUAUACAAAAUUACGUUAAACUCGGUU